rnacentral:lncRNA from 1 species
CAGCAGAGGAAGAAGGCAAAGGAGGGGAGAGGAUGUAAUCCAUCCCCUCAAGGUUUCUUUGGAGGAUCUCUACAAUGGGACAUCUAAGAAGCUCUCGCUCUCCCGCAAUGUAAUCUGCACCAAGUGCAAAGGGUUAGUUUCAAAAUAUCUGCUUUGAUGAAUUAUUUAUGAUGCAACAAGUCUUUUGUUGGGUUUGCUUUUCUACUUUCCUGUACUUACGAACAGUAAUUUGGUGUGGUUAUUUGCAGGAAGGGGUCUAAGUCAGGUGCAUCAAUGAAAUGUUCUGGCUGCCAGGGAUCUGGAAUGAAAGUUUCAAUAAGACACCUUGGCCCCUCUAUGAUUCAACAAAUGCAGCAUCCUUGCAAUGAGUGCAAGGGUACUGGAGAAACAAUCAAUGACAAGGAUCGCUGCCCACAAUGUAAGGGUGAGAAGGUCAUUCAGGAGAAAAAAGUCUUGGAGGUUAUUGUUGAGAAGGGGAUGCAAAAUGGACAGAAGAUUACGUUCCCUGGAGAAGCUGAUGAAGCGGUAAGGCAACGGAUUUUGUUGUUAUUUUUUCUUUUUAAUGCUCUCUGAGUUAUAUUUUCGAGUACAUUGAGUACUGUUUCAAGGUGUAGUUGUCUUAGUUGCUGACUGUACAUUUUGUCAUUUUUUAAAUUUGUGCAGCCCGACACUGUCACAGGUGACAUUGUAUUUGUUCUACAACAGAAAGAGCACCCGAAAUUUAAGCGAAAGGGUGAUGACCUAUUUGUUGAGCACACCCUGUCACUGACAGAAGCUCUCUGUGGCUUUCAAUUUGUAAUAACUCAUUUGGAUGGCCGGCAACUCCUCAUCAAAUCCCAGCCUGGGGAAGUAGUCAAGCCGGGUAAGUACAACUGGAUGGAUGUUAGUCUGAAUUUGUCAGCCUUUGUUGUUCAAAACUGAGUUUGUUGAAUAAUUUCUAGUUUCUAUAAAUUGUUCAACUUCACCAUUGGCAAUAUUCUUUCAGAUUUGUGAGCUGAUAGGAUUUUCCAUUUUUCUUGAGUCUUGACAGUGAUGCCUUGGUAGUGAUGCCUUGUGCAUGAACUUUUAUUCCUAGUACCAGUGUGACUGUCUAAUUUUUGGGCAUCUUGUUGUUUUCUGUUCAAAGUUCAGUUAUUUUUUGCUAUUUGAGUAGUGAUAUCUUGUUUUUGUACAGUGUUCUUUAACAUAUUGUUGUUUCUUUUCACCCCAGGAAACACUUUUAAGCAAUAUGUGCAAGUGAUCGUGGAAAUAAUAUCUGUGAACAGGCCUUUAAUAGCCUUGUUAAUGCAACUAGCUAGUUUCUUUAGACAUGUUUUUGGAGGCUUCCUUAGAUAGCUUUAUUGAUGCAAUUUAGCUAGUUUCUUAAGACUCUUGUCGAAGGCAUCAUACAUGUUGAAUUAUGUGAUGAUAUGAUCUAUUCUAGAUUCAGAUGGAACUACUAUUAGAGAUUUAUUGGAUGUGAUGCAUUGCCCUUGGUUCCUUUAUGCUGAAUAAUUUCUUGUGUUUGUUUCAUGUUAUCAUCUUAUUCAUACAUGCUACUUGUUUCUCUGCAAACAGACCAAUUCAAGGCCAUAAAUGAUGAAGGAAUGCCUAUGUAUCAGAGGCCAUUUAUGAGGGGCAAACUGUACAUUCAUUUCACUGUUGACUUCCCUGAGUCACUGAGCCCAGACCAGUGCAAGAUGCUGGAGACCGUACUACCUCCAAGGACCUCAGUCCAGCUCACCGAUAUGGAACUGGAUGAGUGUGAAGAAACAACCCUGCAUGAUGUGAACAUUGAGGAGGAAAUGCGAAGGAAGCAACAAGCAGCUCAGGAGGCAUACGAUGAAGAUGACGAUAUGCAAGGUGGUGCCCAGAGAGUGCAGUGUGCUCAGCAGUGAU